CCCUUAGAUGUUCUGGGCCGCACGCGCGCUACACUGAUGCGUUCAGCGAGUUGUUUUUCAAAAUCCUUGGUCGAGAGGCCUGGGUAAUCUUGUGAACGCGCAUCGUGCUAGGGAUAGAUUGUUGCAAUUCUCAAUCUUGAACGAGGAAUUCCUAGUAAACGCAAGUCAUCAGCUUGCAUUGAUUACGUCCCUGCCCUUUGUACACACCGCCCGUCGCACCUACCGAUUGAAUGACUCGGUGAAAAAUUGGGACCGUGAGUCAAGUUGCUUCAUUGCGACUCGACUCGUGGGAACUCUUUUGAACCUCGCCAUUUAGAGGAAGGUGAAGUCGUAACA
rnacentral:rRNA from 1 species